rnacentral:lncRNA from 1 species
GUGAAUUUAGAGGUCGAAAGACGACCUUCCUCUUCACCAUCUUUCUGACCUCCGAUUGGAGUUCCUCUGGCCGCUUCACCGCAGGCUCUGGCUUCCUUUUCUCCAGGUACCUUUCUAUGGAGAGAUUAUGGACGUUUGCUGGUGAUGGUGGAUGGCGUGUGAGGCUCAGCUUAAGCACUUUUGGACUAACUCUGAAAACAAGAACCUGUACUGCUCUAUAAACAUUUGUGAACCACGUGGGAUGAAUUGGAGGGAUACAGGCAUGGAUGACCUGUAAUGCUUGCCCAUAGGCUGUGCAGGGGCUGGCUGUGGUCAGGACUCAGCAGGUGAAGGUGCCUGCUGCCCAGCCUGAUGAUCCGAGUCCACUUUCUGGAAUCUCCAUGGUUGACUGCCUCCAAGAGUUCCUUCUACAGCUGGAAUGCAAGAUCCUGAGUGGAGUCCAGGUGGUGGGUCUGGGAGCCUCCAGAGAGUCAUGGCCAGUCAGGAUGGCUGCCGUCCCCGUGCUUCUGGAGAGGGGCUUAGCCAAGAGGAAGCCACCCCAAAGGCUGAUCUCCUGACAGUUGAGCCGGUCCCCUGACAUGUGGCAUGCUGCAGGUGGUGCCUUCCCUUUCCUCUGUUGUCCAGCUCUGACAGACAGCCAGGAUGGCAGGGUGUCCAGCCAGGCCACUGGUGGUAUAGUGCCAGGGAAAUGUUAGUGCCCCCCCC